CGGGGGGGGGGGCCUAUACAUGCAGUAGAACGCUGAAGAGAGGAGCUUGCUCUUCUUGGAUGAGUUGCGAACGGGUGAGUAACGCGUAGGUAACCUGCCUUGUAGCGGGGGAUAACUAUUGGAAACGAUAGCUAAUACCGCAUAACAAUGGAUGACACAUGUCAUUUAUUUGAAAGGGGCAAUUGCUCCACUACAAGAUGGACCUGCGUUGUAUUAGCUAGUAGGUGAGGUAAUGGCUCACCUAGGCGACGAUACAUAGCCGACCUGAGAGGGUGAUCGGCCACACUGGGACUGAGACACGGCCCAGACUCCUACGGGAGGCAGCAGUAGGGAAUCUUCGGCAAUGGGGGCAACCCUGACCGAGCAACGCCGCGUGAGUGAAGAAGGUUUUCGGAUCGUAAAGCUCUGUUGUAAGUCAAGAACGGGUGUGAGAGUGGAAAGUUCACACUGUGACGGUAGCUUACCAGAAAGGGACGGCUAACUACGUGCCAGCAGCCGCGGUAAUACGUAGGUCCCGAGCGUUGUCCGGAUUUAUUGGGCGUAAAGCGAGCGCAGGCGGUUUGAUAAGUCUGAAGUUAAAGGCUGUGGCUCAACCAUAGUUCGCUUUGGAAACUGUCAAACUUGAGUGCAGAAGGGGAGAGUGGAAUUCCAUGUGUAGCGGUGAAAUGCGUAGAUAUAUGGAGGAACACCGGUGGCGAAAGCGGCUCUCUGGUCUGUAACUGACGCUGAGGCUCGAAAGCGUGGGGAGCGAACAGGAUUAGAUACCCUGGUAGUCCACGCCGUAAACGAUGAGUGCUAGGUGUUGGAUCCUUUCCGGGAUUCAGUGCCGCAGCUAACGCAUUAAGCACUCCGCCUGGGGAGUACGACCGCAAGGUUGAAACUCAAAGGAAUUGACGGGGGCCCGCACAAGCGGUGGAGCAUGUGGUUUAAUUCGAAGCAACGCGAAGAACCUUACCAGGUCUUGACAUCCCGAUGCUAUUUCUAGAGAUAGAAAGUUACUUCGGUACAUCGGUGACAGGUGGUGCAUGGUUGUCGUCAGCUCGUGUCGUGAGAUGUUGGGUUAAGUCCCGCAACGAGCGCAACCCCUAUUGUUAGUUGCCAUCAUUCAGUUGGGCACUCUAGCGAGACUGCCGGUAAUAAACCGGAGGAAGGUGGGGAUGACGUCAAAUCAUCAUGCCCCUUAUGACCUGGGCUACACACGUGCUACAAUGGUUGGUACAACGAGUUGCGAGUCGGUGACGGCGAGCUAAUCUCUUAAAGCCAAUCUCAGUUCGGAUUGUAGGCUGCAACUCGCCUACAUGAAGUCGGAAUCGCUAGUAAUCGCGGAUCAGCACGCCGCGGUGAAUACGUUCCCGGGCCUUGUACACACCGCCCGUCACACCACGAGAGUUUGUAACACCCGAAGUCGGUGAGGUAACCUUUUGGAGCCAGCCGCUAAGGUGAAAGAAGU
rnacentral:rRNA from 1 species